CUCCAAGAUCACCACCCCAUUGGGAAGAAACUAAAUCACGACCACCAAAUGGUAGUCUUCCCAUGCAGAUACAGGAAUGUCACACAGAUCCAAAUGGAAACAUCGAACACUGUAAAACCCACUGUGCAGACAGGACCAAUGGUGACAAUAUAAGACCAUGCCGAGCUUCAUGGACGGUUCAAACUCAUCCUGCCCAGGAACGGCUGAAAACGUUGACAGUCAAUCAACAGGGGGACAUGGAAAGAGAGGAUUGGAAGUGAAAUAGAGGUAUUUGUAAAAGUGUGUAUAUUCAUUGAUUCAAAACUUGAAGGAAGUGACUCGGUUAAAUUCUUACGUUAGGGUUUUCCGGGACAGCCAUAGGGGAAGGACUGUGGCAUCUUCAUGUUGAUGGUAGACUGAUAUGCCAACUCUGAGGAAGUGGUGGUGUAUAUUGCUAGCGGACAAUUUCAAACUUGGGUGCAUGCCACAGGAAAGAGUUUGCCCAUUGGACAAAUGAGGCAAAAGCAUUACUGCGGGGUGAAGUGCCACCAGUCUAUCAGUUACAGAAGUGAAAUUUGAAUAUAAUUGCUGAGGAAGAGGUGCAACCACAGCUCCUUCAAGUUAGUGGUGGCCCACUCCAAAAAGAUAUUGCGGGAAAAAUG